UCCCUUUCUAUUUGUCGCCAUAGUCUCCAUCGCUCUCAAACGUUCGUUUCUAUCCCUGUCAAAUCUUGGCUCGCUGGAAAAAUCCGAAGUAGUUUAAACUUCUUCAGCUUUUUGAUUUGGAUUGAAGAUGAUUUUAAGCCAAAAAGGUUAACGUUUUCUGGAAACGGUGGUGUUGCAAUUUUGGGGCUUUCAUGUGCAACCUUGGAACCACUUUGUGCUCAAGGUAUAUAAAAGGAGACGGUACUCUUCGUUUUUUGGGGCUUUUGUGUGAAGCUUUCGAAGCCCUCUGUGCUCAAGGUAAAUAAUUUUGGUUUUUUCCUUUUGAGGCUUUUGUGGAAUAAUUCUUUUUGUUUUUUGGUUUUUUGGUUUUUUGUUUUUGUAAUAUUGUGAUAGUUUUAUUUUGUAUAUUGUGAAAGUUGAUUGUUUGAGAAACUGAGUAACUGUGUAUUUGUUUGUAGUUAUGGUAUGAGACGUGAUAUAAAUUGAACAGGAUGAGAUAAGGUAUUUAGGUAGUACAACAAUUGAUCGUGAAAAACUAUUAACAAACUACAUUUGAAACAUUCAUUCAUUUAUGUUAUAUGUGGUGGUUCCAAGCUUGAGUUCUUUUUCCAUGCAGCCUUCUGUUGACCAAUACGGGUCUAUGCAUUCUGGUAAUGCUACAAAUGGAUAAAUCACAUCAGAGCGUCUGCUACCCCUUUGUUACCUGAUUUCAUGGAUUCAUU